CACCUCUUUCCCGCUCGACCACGCGCGCGCUGUGUUUAGGCUUGGAGCUAUCGCCGCCACCCAUCUCUAACGCCCCAAUCCCUGCGCUGCGGCAGCCUAGCUCCUCCGCGACCUUAGCGCAGAGCUCCAUCCAUGAUUGGCGUCGUGCACCUCCUCGACAGCGAUCCGAGAGGUGAAAUUAAGUUUUGUGAUUUUUAUUAUUUAUUUUCGGCGGCCGUUUUUCAUUAACCACCGCAAUCAGUGAUUAAGAGGAAGUUCAAUAGGGACACAUAAACAAAUUAAAUAUAGGGAUUAAAUAAUAAAGGACAGCUCCAACAGGAGCCUCACUUCAAUAAGUUUUAUCUAAACCUUUUAGGGCCCAACCUCAAGAGUUGCAUAUUUGAGACCCAAAAACUUUGGGUCGUAUAAUAUAAUGUUCGUGCCAUCGGGAAAUUUCACCGUCUAUUUCAUCGCGGCCAUCUCCACGAUCUGCCGCACCCGCCCAACCUCUCACGAUCUGCCGCACAAGCCAAUGGAAGUGCCUUCUUCAACGCCUUGUAUGCUCGUGGUCCAUCGGCAGCGCCCGCGCUGUUUCCAUCACGUCGUUGCCACGUUCGUGUCUAGGCGUCGUGGAAAAACGUCACCGCUCUUCAUCGUCCCCACCUCUGGUUCGUCUCCUAGCUCUCCUCCACUGGAUCUGCUUCGUUCUUGAUGGAACGAAGGCCAUUGUCCCCCAAGUUCACGUCCAAUAGCAAGCCGUCGGUUUUAUUUGCCAUCGCGCUAGAUGCAAUGGGAGGUGUGACAACAGCCGCACGUUCGACAUCACAUGAUGUUGCAGCGCCGUAUCUUCGUCGUGCAUCGACCGUCGCAAGUGAACAACGCUCUACAUCUCAGCCUUCUUCGCAAGCGUCGUCGCCUAUCAUGGAAUCUUACAUGUAUAUUAUCUUCUCAAUUCAUUGUUGAAUGAAUGGACCAAAGUUGCAGAACAGUUUUGGUCGAUGUACUUAAUUCAUGUGUUCUUGUUUAUGAAUUCAUAUGUUCUCAAUUUAUUUUUGAUUGACAGGAAGGUUACAGAUCUGUUUUAGUGAGUGUGCUGAAUUCAUGGGUUCCUGUUUCUAAACUCAAGUGUGAAGGAUUCAUGUGUUAUUGUUUAUGAAUUCAUAUGUUCUGAAUUAUUGAGUUUGGC
rnacentral:lncRNA from 7 species